rnacentral:rRNA from 1 species
GAUGAACGCUGGCGGCGUGCCUAAUACAUGCAAGUCGAGCGAACAGACGAGGAGCUUGCUCCUCUGACGUUAGCGGCGGACGGGUGAGUAACACGUGGAUAACCUACCUAUAAGACUGGGAUAACUUCGGGAAACCGGAGCUAAUACCGGAUAAUAUAUUGAACCGCAUGGUUCAAUAGUGAAAGACGGUUUUGCUGUCACUUAUAGAUGGAUCCGCGCCGCAUUAGCUAGUUGGUAAGGUAACGGCUUACCAAGGCGACGAUGCGUAGCCGACCUGAGAGGGUGAUCGGCCACACUGGAACUGUGACACGGUCCAGACUCCUACGGGAGGCAGCAGUAGGGAAUCUUCCGCAAUGGGCGAAAGCCUGACGGAGCAACGCCGCGUGAGUGAUGAAGGUCUUCGGAUCGUAAAACUCUGCUAUUAGGGAAGAACAAAUGUGUAAGUAACUAUGCACGUCUUGACGGUACCUAAUCAGAAAGCCACGGCUAACUACGUG